rnacentral:rRNA from 1 species
AGAACGAACGCUGGCGGCAGGCCUAAAACAUGCAAGUCGAACGCUCUAGCAAUAGGGAGUGGCGCACGGGUGAGUAACAUGUGGGAAUAUGCCUUUUGGUACGGAACAACUUUUGGAAACGAAAGCUAAUACCGUAUGGUCCCUUCGGGGUAAAGAUUUAUCGCCAAAAGAGUAGCCCGCACUGGAUUAGCUAGUUGGUAAGGUAAUGGCUUACCAAGGCGACGAUCCAUAGCUGGUCUGAGAGGACGAUCAGCCACACUGGGACUGAGACACGGCCCAGACUCCUACGGGAGGCAGCAGUUAGGAAUCUUGGACAAUGGGCGCAAGCCUGAUCCAGCCAUGCCGCGUGAGUGAUGAAGGCCUUCGGGUUGUAAAGCUCUUUAGUCCACGAAUAUAAUGACUGUAGUGGAAGAAUAAGCCCCGGCUAACUUCGCGCCAGCAGCCGC